rnacentral:rRNA from 1 species
GCUUACGGCCAUAUCAGCCUGGGUAUGCCCGAUCUCGUCUGAUCUCGGAAGCUAAGCAGGGUCGGGCCUGGUUAGUACUUGGAUGGGAGACCGCCUCGGAAUACCAGGUGCUGUAAGCA